UCUUCCGUGUGCCUGUGUUGUUCUUUUGCUCUUUGCAAUUAAAUCUUGCUGCUGCUCACUCAUUGGGUCCACGCUGCUUUCAUGAGUUGUAACACUCACCGUGGAGGUCUGCAGCCUCACUGCUGAAGCCAGCGAGACCACGAACCCACCGGGAGGAACGAACAACUCCAGACGCGCCACCUUAAGAGCUGUAACACCGCGAAGGCCUGCAGCUUCACUCCUGAGCUAGCGAGACCACGAACCCACUAGAAGGAACUCCGAACACGUCAGAACGAGCAAACUCCGGACACGCCAUCUUUAAGAACCGUAACACUCACCGCGAGGGUCCGAGGCUUCUUGAAGUCAGUGAGACCAAGAACCCACCAAUUCUGGACACAGUGACAAGGAAAAGACAGCGAUGAACACUCUCUGAGUAUUUGAGUAAAGAACAAAGGCCGUUUUGGGGGAAGUCUGACCUGAAUGGGUCUUGGUGCACAAGAAGAUGAGAAAGCAGGAGAGGAGAAUCCAGAGGAAAAAGAGGGAUUCACACAGGAGCAGUUGCAAGAAGGAAACCCGAUCUUCCCUUCAAGACAUCUCAUUUUUGCCUUUCACCUGGACUUGUCCACGGGGAUCUGCUUUCCAGUCCAAAGGGACCGUUUCCUUUCUGUCCCUCGAUGCCUGUGCUAGUUAUUUGCCGUGAUGUCUGUUGCUAUCGUUCCUUUAUUUCAAUUCCACUCCUGGGCCUGGCCUUCUAGGAUGCUCUCCAUGCUCCCGACAGUUCUCUCCCCCAUAACUCCCUGGCCAUUAACCUGUUUUAUUGUCAUGGUUUGAUGGUGAAAAGUUGCUCUUUGCUUUCCAAAAUGACAGCUAGCUGAUGCGUUUGUCCCAUCCCUAUCACU